AGAUACUCAGCGAAGAGUACUUCCCUAACAUGUCACCAGGUAGCUGCACAGAUUCAUUCAUUCUCACAACACCCUGUAGGUGUUAUCAUUACAGAGAUGCAUUUAGUCAAUAGAUAUUUAGUGAGGGCUGACUGCAUGCCACGCACUGUUCUAGGAGCUGGGGAUACAGCGGUGAACCUGACAAGGCCCCCAUGCGGAGGAAACAAGAAGCAGAUCUGCAGAGAUGAAAUUCCAGGGUUGCCCGGAGAUUACAAGCCUGACUCAAACCCAGAUCUACUGGCCUCACAUCCGCUGUCUGACCUAAUGUGGAGAACAAACAUUGGCAACAGUAGAUUCUUCACCAGCUGAGCUACCAGGGAAGGCCCAAAGGAACUAUAUCUCAAUUUUGAAAAAAGAAGUCUAUGGUGUGUUUUCACCUAUCCUUUUUGGGUUUAGCACAAUGCUGAAUGCUUGG
rnacentral:lncRNA from 1 species